UUCCACUCUCAGGCGAGAGAACUUGACAAUAAAUGUCCAACAGUGUAGAGUUUGAAUCUUAGUUAGCUAGUUUUGGCAUUUCGGAUCGAUUGAUGAUAAAAUAUGGCGAGAUGGAACAGUAUGGCAGAAGUGUCAGGAUCCGCUUGUCUGUCCCGCCAUCUGUCUGUUGCUGCAGGAUAGUUAUGUGUGUACAGUACGAGGCGAGAGGUGUAUUUCGGACAUUAGAUGAUUAACAUACAAAUUCUCAGAGUGCUCCCAGCUGCUGUCCCGCUGUUCUGUGUCACUGUCUCUGCUCACGACAGUUUCCACUUCUCUUUCUUUUUUCUUGUCUUUCUGUGUCUCACUGUCUUUCUUAACUCUUUCUCUCUGACUCCUCCUCUUUCUGUUCCCCCUCUCUCGCUACAGCAUGUCCCUCCCUUCCUCUUUCUGUGUCCCCCCCCCCCAACCACACACACACACACACCCCUCCUCCCCUCCUCCCCUCCUUUUUCUCUCCUUCCCUCUUGGCAGCAGUGCCAAAGUGGGCAGGCGGACCGAGGCAAACACAGCACAGGGCAGAGCAGAGGGCGAUCCAAAGGCUGGCGAAUUGAUUAUGUGUAUGUUUGUGUUUUGAACUGUCCUGUGUCUGUGUGUUCGCGUGUUUGUCUCUGUUUUGAUCAUACGCAACCGCAUGCACUGUGAGUCUAUUGUGAGUCCGUUUUGGAGCUGUUCUUUUUCCUUGUGCACAGUGUGUCUGAUAGUGUGGCUUGUGUGUCGUGUUUUCUGUGUCUGUGUGUGUGUUGUAGAGCUGUGUGUGAGCAGACGUCCCUCUGUCACCCUGUAUACGGACAGACGCACUCACGCCAGUAGGAGGGGAUUGUGGGAAGGGGGUGUAGCUCUCAGAGGGUGUGCUCUGCUCCUCUCUUUUCCCUUCUUCCCGCCAUCACGGCCCUCUUCUCCUCCAGUCCUCCGGCCCAGCCCGCCGCUCACGUACUGGCUCCAGGAGUUUUACCUUUGAGGAGCUUUGCUGCUGAAGCAACAUGGAUGCUGUCCUUGGGGCUGAGGUAGUAGAUUGAAUAGUUGUGGGGUUGUGUAACCUCUUUUUGAGAUAACUAUACAAUCUACUGUCUUUCCCAAGGAGACAGCUGAAUCAGCCACUCGCCAACUGUCAUCUCCAGACGGGCAAUCAUGUCCAAUCAAAACAUACGCUUGCAGCAAAUGAAAAUAAUGCAUUGUGACAAGCAUUGUUUUUUUUGCCAGUGCAGGUAAAUUGGAUGUCAUGUUCCCCAACAGGUGAACGUGUGGGGUGCUUGAUUUGGGUUCUGUCAGGGUGAGGUAGUAGGUUGUAUAGUUUGGUGGGUGGGAUUGCACCCUGCUCAGGUGAUAACUAUACAGUCUAUUGCCUUCCCUGAGGAGCUCACUGAACACUCAUCAAUACUCAACACACUCUCAUGGCUGAGUAUCACUUUUAUUAUCAAAAAAAGGAUCAGGUACACAUGUGCUGCAAAGGAUUAGUGUUGAAUUGAUUUAACCUGUCACAUGACUUGCUUAAAUAUAUGUACAUCUCAAUAAAGAUAUACUUGCUUCAAA